rnacentral:misc_RNA from 1 species
GAUGAAGAACGCAGCGAAAUGCGAUAAGUAAUGUGAAUUGCAGAAUUCAGUGAAUCAUCGAAUCUUUGAACGCACAUUGCGCCCGCCAGUAUUCUGGCGGGCAUGCCUGUUCGAGCGUCAUUUCAACCAUCAAGCCCCCGGGCUUGUGUUGGGGACCUGCGGCUGCCGCAGGCCCUGAAAAGCAGUGGCGGGCUCGCUGUCACACCGAGCGUAGUAGAUUUUAUCUCGCUCAGGGCGUGCUGCGGGUUCCGGCCGUUAAACCACCUUCAUAACCCAAGGUUGACCUCGGAUCAGGUAGGAAGACCCGCUGAACUUAAGCAUUUCAAUAAGCGGAGGA